rnacentral:lncRNA from 1 species
GGAUUCUAGAAAUCCUACCCGAAGUAGGACUCUUGUUUCAAGUCCAAUUAAUUAAUUCCCUUGGUUCCUUCUUCAACUUCUUUAUCAAUCAAAUUGAUUACUUGUGAUUCUUAAUCACGAUUUCAACCAUCGGAUCGGUCAAUACUUCUAGUGUGUGUGACCCCAUAGGUUCUAUUCUGACUGGUAGUGAGAUAUAUUGUGAUCUCUAUCACUAUAUCAUUGAAAACUCCUUUCAAUGGGUUGGAACGAUUCCAACUCAACUCAUUAGGGUUUACCGAUCAUCAAGAUAAUCCCUAUGAGUCCCACCAUCCACCAGUGACACCUAGCAGCAUGUAGUGGCUACCCAGCAGAAUGGAAUGAUGAACCUCUAGGUGCAGUUAACAUGUGAUAGAGUCCUACUAUCGUGGAUCCCUACAGGACGGAGGUCAUGGACAACUCGUCAAACCCCAUCGUCUGUCAUAUGUCAAGAUUUGUUCGACUUGAGUUCGAUAGUGGAAAACUCUUUUUCACUUUAUAUUACUGCCCUGGCCAAGGUCUUAGAACUCAGUCUAACAAAUCACAUAGGAUCACUCCUUUUCUAUCAAGGUCGAUAGAUUCCUUAUAGGUGCAUACCCUACUCCUACAGUGAACCUACUGCAGCCN